GGAUCACCAGUACGAGGAGAAUGAAGCAAAGAGGAAGGAGGACCUCAAAAUGUUCCUUGAGCAGCGUGCUUAUGAGAAAAAGAUGAAGGAGCAUCACAAGAAAGGUGAUGGAGCAACAUCACAAAUAAUGGGCAGCUAAAUUUAAGAUUGCUAUAUGGCAGAGGGUGCAAAAAAGAGAGAGCGGGAGAAUGAACUCUUCAUGGAGAGGGUGGUGGAAGAGGUUUCAAAAAUGCGCAAAAGGGAAGACGAAGAGGAAGAAGAGAGGAAGAAGAAAAAGGGGAAGGGGGCUUGCUCGACACAAUAGAGCCGGAGGCUUCUAUUCUCAUGCACGCUUUUAUGUUUGAACCCUAUGUGUUGAACCUUGUUCGUUUGCGCGCGAUCUGACUAUGAAAUCCACUAUUAUGUACUUUAAGAACCUAUUAUGCAUCUUUGGACGUAUGUGUGAACUUUAAUGGGAACACUUUGUGAUGUUUGUACUUUA
rnacentral:lncRNA from 1 species